rnacentral:rRNA from 1 species
UACGUAGGGUGCGAGCGUUAAUCGGAAUUACUGGGCGUAAAGCGUGCGCAGGCGGUUUUGUAAGACAGAGGUGAAAUCCCCGGGCUUAACCUGGGAACUGCCUUUGUGACUGCAAGGCUUGAGUGCGGCAGAGGGGGAUGGAAUUCCGCGUGUAGCAGUGAAAUGCGUAGAUAUGCGGAGGAACACCGAUGGCGAAGGCGGCGUUCUGGACUGCAACUGACACUGAGAGACGAAAGCCAGGGGAGCAAACGGG